rnacentral:tRNA from 1 species
AAGAAACUAGUUUAAUAGAAAAUUUAAACUUGUCAAGUUUAAGAUACCAAUAAAAGAAAGGUUUUUCUUU